AAUUCAUUUCUAAUAAUUUUCGUCAAAACAUUUUUUUGGUUCUUCAAAAGCACACUUUGAUUAUGAUUUGUUUUUGUCCUUGAAAUGUAUCUAAACUGUAUUUCCAUGAAUACAUUAACUUUCCAAAUAAUAAUAAAAAAGUGGUUCGGCGUAAACAAACCAUUCACUAGUUUAAAACACUCCUAUCGAAGAGUGUCGUUUAAUCACGUAAAAAUGAAGAAUCAUACAAAAAAUGAAACAUCUUCACGAACAAUUUUACUUUUACUUUCAAUGAUCGGCUUUCUUAUGUUUUCACUGACACUAUGUGCCAAUUAUCUCCAAGAAAAAUCAAUUAAUUCAAAGAAUUUAUACUCAAUUUUCAUUGAUUAUAAUGCAUUUUUAUAUUACACAAUUUAUCUCGUUUUUAUGGCUUUGACUUUCACUGAAAAAUACGACAAGUUUUCCGGGACAAAAUCUCUAAUAAUGUCUCUCAUUGUGUUUUUUGCACUUGAAAUUUGCAAUUUCCAUGCUGUUGAUUACCUCCUUGAACAUCUAGUUCACAUGGCUUUUGCUGGUUUAGUCCUUGGAAAUUGUCUCGGAUUGUUUUGUUACGUUCGAAGUUUAAAUCUACCUGAAGAUAAAAUCAAUCCUAAAGUAAUCGGUCAAGAUAUGAUUUAUUCCUAUUUGAUUGGAAGAGAAAUAAGGCCAAGAUUUUUCGGAUACAUUGAUCUGAAAAUGUUCGUUAAUAGAGUUGGCGUAGCCUCGGCGGUUUUGUUAAACUGUGCACUUUUGUAUCAAGAGUUUACCAAAAGUUCGACGUUGAAUAAAAGUUUCGCUUUGAUUGAAAUAAUGCAUCUGAUUUAUUGUGCGGACGCAGUGGUUACAGAAUACACAUUUGAGUAUUCCCUAGAAGUCCAAAAAGAAGGUUUUGGUUACAUAUGUUCAGUUGGAUAUUUCAUAUAUCCCUUUUUGAUGAACAUUUUUCCUUAUCACAUAUUAGUUUCAAGAACUGAACUUCCAACGUGGAAACUAGUUGUGAUAACACUGUCAUUUAUGGUUGGUUACCUGCUUUACAGAGGUAGCAACAACCAGAAAUACGACUUCAAAGUGAAUCCCUCAACACCUGGUGUGAAAUUUAUCGACACUCAUUCCGAAAAUAGAAAAUUGCUCUGCUCAGGAUUUUGGGGCUUCGUUCGACAUCCGAAUUAUCUGGGAGAUAUAUUAAUGCAAUUAGCCUUCGCAGGAUUGACAAUGUGUAUUCCUGCGAUAAUGCCUUUGACGGACAUAUUUUUCUUGAUUCAUCGUUCUGUUAGAGACAAUGAACUCUGUAAGGAAAAAUACGGAAAUUCGUGGGAUAAAUAUUGCGAAAAAGUUAAAUAUGUCAUCAUUCCUGGAAUUUAUUAAUCAAGUGCUAUCUGCUAGCAACAGAUGGAUUUUUUACAAGAAUCUAAAAUAAACUUUGAAAUACAAAAUAUAUAAUUUAUUUUUUAUAGUUUCAAUUUACAAUGAACUAUUUUUUCUUCUUUUCUUUUUGCAAUUCAAAUAGUUAAAUAAAUCUUACUGGCAUUAAUUUUCUAAAUUACUACAAUAAUAAGGAAGUUUCCACUUUUUUGAAAUUAAUACCAUUAAUAGUCUUCAUAAUUGUAAAACUAAUGGUACUUUUCAUUUUUUUAUAUUUGCAAAAAUAAAAAAGUUAUGAGACCUCAAAGUUUGAAUUUUGACAUAAAAGAUAGAAGACUUCUAUUCUAUUUUAUACAGCGUGCUCAAAAACUGACGCACCAACUCAAUGGUGUGUGGUAGAGAACUGGUUACAUAUAAAGGUAAAAAUAGUAAAAAAAUUCUUUGUAUUAAAGUUAUUGAUAAAUAACUGGUUUUAGAUAAAUGAUAUGUGGCAACGUUGUCUAACAGUCAUGAUCGCAAUAGAAUUUGAUCACCAAUAAAAAUAAAUUAGUUUUGCAACCGUUUCCUAGGAAAUAAUUCCCAGUGUUGGCACAUCUACACAUUGUGAUUUUUUUGAUGAAUUUUAAUUUUUUGAAUUAAAGAAACUGCUAAAGUCUGACAGAAAAUUUAAAAACAAUUAUUCAUCGUUUUGUUAGGGAACGAUUACCUAGUGUGAAGCAUAAAAAUAAUGAAAACUAAAAAAGUUAACACAACAAGUUUGUAGCUCCAUAUUUUUUAAAAUAUGAUUUUAGGAAUUUUUUCAGCAUUUUUCCCGUAAUCUGCACGUGCUAAUCAAUAACGUACCACUGAGUUGGUGCGCCAGUUUUUGAGCACCUGUAUGUAUAGAAGGUCAGGCGACCCUAGUAUAAAAAGCCAAGUAAAAAAAGCGUAUUUGAUGUUUCAAAACUAUAAAAACGCCAACGUCGCAAUUUCUCUCAAAAUCGCAAACGCUGAUUUUUGUGUUAUUAUUAAAAUGGAUUUUAAACAAUGGCCCGAAUUCUUAUCCCAUUAUUAAAUUUAAUAACGUCUCUAACUUCCAUGGCAACGUUUGCAUCUCUUUCUACAGCAUUAGAUUUACAUAAAUCUAUAUCGUUUUAUGUUUAGUUUAAUAGCGUAUUUAGCUAAUCACAUCCUUAAUGAUGAGAUAAGAAUUCGGGCCAAUUACUUUAGUCAUCACAAAUAACACUUUCUUUCAAUAUUUAUUUCUUUUAAGUCAAUAAAAUUAUCCAGAGAUCUCAAUGCAAUGUCGAAAGGAACUGUAGUAGUAGUGUGUAAAUAGGCGCUACGGUGUAAACAGUUUAUGCCGCGUGACGUCAUCAGGCUCAAAGCGGGACCGCUCUUAAACCGGCAGACAAAAAAGCUUAUAUUUUUGAUAAUUUUAAAGCUAUUGAAUUAAUUUUUUUUGCAUUCAAUUUUUCUUGAUUUGAGUACUAUUAUGUUGAAAAAAAUAAUAACAUUUUGAAAAAUUGGAAACUUCCCCAUCAACCUUUCUCUUGGUUAGAAAACAAUUUUUAUAGGAUUGCGAAGGUUAGAAGCAAAUGUCUAAAAUACAAUUAUGUUAUAAAAAUAUUUUAUUAUUUAACCAAAUGCAAAUGUAUAUAAAAUAGUAUACAUACUUUGGUGGGAAUUUCA